UAAAAGAUAAGCUAAAUUCUAAGCUAAUGGGCUCAUAACCCAUAAAUGAAAUAAAUUUCUCUUUUAA
rnacentral:tRNA from 1 species